UUUCAUUUUGUCACUUAUCAAAUAAAGGAUUGAAAUUAAUAUCUCGGCUUCUAUUCACCAUCUUCAAAAGAUAGAUCCAAUCAUUGACUUGUAAUUUAAUUUCUUUCUCGAUAUCCUCUUUUUGUGCACACUUAAAUAUUCUCUCUGGAGUACAUUUACAACCAUGUAGUCUUUCCUGUGCAGGAGUUUAGUUUGAAGGCCUGUCCCAAAUAAAGGCUGGGUCAUUUUAUAGACUGAAGGAAAUAAAAGCCUGCGCUGUUUGUAGAAGUUUUACGGUAAUUCUUAAAUAAUUUGGCCCA